rnacentral:rRNA from 1 species
AUUGAACGCUGGCGGCAGGCCUAACACAUGCAAGUCGAACGAGUGGCGGACGGGUGAGUAAUGUCUGGGAAACUGCCUGAUGGAGGGGGAUAACUACUGGAAACGGUAGCUAAUACCGCAUACCAUCAGAUGUGCCCAGAUGGGAUUAGCUAGUAGGUGGGGUAACGGCUCACCUAGGCGACGAUCCCUAGCUGGGCUGAGAGGAUGACCAGCCAAACUGGAACUGAGACACGGGCCAGAGUACUACGGGAGGCAGCGGUGGGGAAUAUUGCAGAAUGGGCGCAAGCCUGAUGCAGCCAUGACGCGUGUAGGAAGAAGGCCUUCGGGUUGUAAAGUACUUUCAGCGGGGAGGCGUUACCCGCAGAAGAAGCACCGGCUAACUCCGUGCCAGCAGCCGCGGUAAGUC